UUUUUUUUUUUGGCUAUAAUGCCUUUAAUGGAGGGUGGUACAAAAUGCAUCAAUGCAAAAGAAUGUUUUAUGUACUCAUUAGCAUAGUGAUUAAUGUAAAUUAGAGAUACACAAUGUGUUAAACCUUAAAAUCUACAAAGUUUCCUGCAACCUAAAAUAAUGUAAAAGAUUCCUUAAGUUUUUACCCACCACCUUUAAAGUUCUAAAUGGUAUCUGGGGGAACUGAAAAUGUAUGUGUAGUAUGUUAUUUAGAAGAAUUUACAAGUUUCUGUUGACUUUGUUGAUUGAGCAUGGCUACUAAUAAUUAUGUAAUGAAAUUGAAUACAGAAACUUCCAUAAUUUAGCUCAUGCAAUGUUUUUUAACCCUCUUUAGAAAGGAGCUGCAUGUAGAAUGAGAUCACAUGCUUGCAAGAUAGCAAAUACCCUUUUUAUAUUUGAAAUGUUUGCUUUAGGAAUUAAUAGAAGGCAUAUUUUUCUAAUUUUAUGACUAAAUUUAGAAUGAACUGAACGAUUAUUUUUAAGCCAUCGCAAAGUCUCCGAGUGGUAAAGUAGUGUUGCUUUCUAAGCUAUCACAGUUGACUUUAUUCUUCUACUCUGAAAAAAUCUUGACUUGUUUGAGUGUAUAUAAUAUAUAUAAAGGGAGCCUUAAUGGAUUUGUUUUCAUAAUUUAAUAUUUUUUGUAUUUGCUCUUGUAUAAUUGUUUUUAACGGAAAGUAUUACAGAAUUGAGGGUGGAAUUCUUAGAACCAAAGUUAUUCUUAAUAAAAAUCACCACAUGCUUGGAAAAAAAAAAAAAACAAAAAACAAAAAACUGCACUCUAGUGGAGGGCAGUUCCAACCAUUGCAAAGUUUCUGUACUUUUGGCCCAGAAGGGUCACUUGGAGAAUGGCGGGGGAGUGACCCAAGCAUGUUAUCACUGGGGAAACUCCAAGGUCUCUGGCGACCACCUGGACACAGGGGAAGUCACAGGUGAAGGUUUCCUCAGGCACCAUCAGUCUUUAUUUCUGUUGCCAGCAGCCUUGCAUCCCGGGCCUGUGCACACCGUGUGGCUGAAAUGGCUCCUGCCUCUGCUUAUCUCACUUCUACUUGUGGAUUUUCUUCAAAUACUUCUGCUCAUUGGCCGCUUUCUGGUCUCCCUGGUGGCGUUUAUGUUGCCUUUUUGUGUAAUGCCAGAGUCCUAUGCACCUUUAGGAUACUAAUCACUGUUUGCAAUGAUAUAUUUAUUCUGGGGAUUAUUUGUGUCCCCCACUUAAUAAGGGCAAGUAAGUGCUUGUAUUUACUAUGUAUUGUAUUUCCAAUGCCUAACACCUUUCUCACCUGCUGCAUAGUAUGGUACUAAUACUUGUUAAAUAUAUGACUGAACAUCAGGACUGACACUUUGUAUAGACUUGUACAGCCAUUAGAAAUCUCUAGGUGAGGAGUUCCCGUCAUGGCUCCAUGGUAAUGAACCUAACCAGUAUCCAUGAGGAUGCAGGUUUGAUCCCUGGCCUUGCUCAGCAGGUGAAGGAUCUGGCGUUGCAGUGAGUUGUAGUGUAGGCUGCAGAUGAGGCUCACACCUGGCAUUGCUGUGGCUAUGGCAUAGUCUGGCAGCUGUAGCUCUGAUUCAACCCCUAGCCUGGGAACUUCCAUAUGCCUCAGCGGGAGCAGCCCCAGAAAAGCCAAAAAAAAAAAAAAAAAAAAAGUGAUAAGAGGAGAAGGGUACAAGAAUCAUAAUGAAGAUAAUUAAAGAGCAAGAAAGUAAGAUUCAUAAUGAAAACUUUAAAGAGCUUGCAGUAAUUUAGUUAUUUAAGAAAAAGGCUGUGAAAAGAUUUUUAUACAGAAAAUGGUGACCUUUUCUUUCUCCAUCUUUCAUUAACAAAAAGACAAAGAAAAUGGAUUCAUUUUAUAGUAUGGAGGAUUAGGUUAGCCUAAAAAUCAUGAGACACAGCCUCAUUAAACAUCCAAUGGUGGGGGCUGCAAAAAGUCCUCUGAUGCUUAAAAAAAAUUUUUUUUUAAGUUGCAAAGAAUAGUAUAAAGAAUUCCUUCACUCAAAUUUUCCAAUGUUAACAUUUUACACACUUGCAGUAUCAUUCUCUUUCUCUCUUCAUACACACACAUAUAUGGAUGUGUGUGUGUGUGUGUGUGUGUGUGUGUAGUCAGAAUCAUUUGAGAAUAAGCUAUAGAUAAUUUCCCUUUAUCACUAAAUACUGGGUACUUUAGAUCUAAAGCAAAGGACAUUCUCCUGCGGAACCACGGUAGUAUCACAAAAAUUAGGAAAAUAACACUGACACAGUACUAUUAUUUAAUUUUCAGACCUUAUUCAAUUGUUUUCUAUUGUCCCACAAAUGUCCUUUAAAGCAAAACAAAAGAGUUUUUCUGGUCCAGGAUCUAUAUUGUAUUGAGUUGUCAUGUUUUCUAAAUUCCUUUAAUCUGGAAUAGUUCUCGAGUAAAGAAUUUUAAGGUCUUUCAUGACCUUAAGGGUUUUAAGAACACAGGUCAGUUAUUUUGCAGCCUGCUCUCAAGUUGGGUCUCCGCUGUUUUGAAAAAAGAUUCCCAUUUAAGAAAUAAAAAUUUAAAUCGAAGUGUAGUUGAUUUACAAUGUUGUAUUAGUUUCAAAGCGAUUUACAUUCGUUUUGGGAAUUUUAGGUGUGGUCUUGAGUGAGGACCACAGUUAGAAGGAGCUCCUCUUCUCAAGCUUCCUGCCUCCUACCGAUUAGUCCCACUAUAUUAGAACGACUGUUCAAUGGAUGGUUCCAUGGACACAAAGUUUUUGUAUUUGGAACUGAUCUUUUUGGGUUACAUAGUUUUCUUGGCAUUCCUGCAUUUUACAAGAGUUUAAUUUCUUUCACGGUAGAUUUGUUUGCGAAUAAUUAGCACCUACUCUUUUUUUGAAAAAACAUUUGAGACUUAAGUAACCCGUAGACGCCCAUUUUCAGAAUCUCACCUUCGAAAGUGAUGAACUAUGCCCUAGCUCGGGAGACAAAGAGCUGCAAAAAUGGGUGGGUGUUGCUCAUUAAAAUCAUUCAACAAAUAUUUGUUGAGUACCUGGUGUAUGUCAGGCUUUAUUCCAAGCCCUGGGAAUACAUUCGAGAACAAAAUAAAACAAAAAUCCCUGCCCUUGUAAUUUAGUUGGGCAAAUUAAAAUUUAAAAGAAAAAAAAGUCGGAAGCCAGGAAUCCAACUUCCUUAAACAGGAAGAAAGCAAAUCUCUGAGAAAAUGGGGAGCUCUGAGAUUCCGUUCAAGUGUGGACAACGCUGCAGAACCCUCGGCAAACGCGCUGGUAAUCAAGUUCUCAGUUUAUCCAAACGCGCUAUGCAAAUGAUUAAUCCGAACACCGAAGGCCUGAAAGGACACGCGAGGCAGAACUUCCUGGGCUGUUUUAACCACAUUUUCACCAACAGUUUUCCCCCGGUGAGGAGCCUUCCCCGCCGCUGCCGCGCACUUUUGGGUCAGCCCGGCGCGGGGCCAGGCACCUGGCCUCGCACCCCAGCGAGGCCGCACCUCCCGCUCCCUGCGCGGCGGAGCACCUGGGAACCGCGCACCGAGAAAGCCCCGCAGGGAGGAGGCUCAGGGGAACCGGCUCCUCCAGCGGCCUCGCCCACUGCAAUGCAAUCUGGGUGGUUUUUCCAGGUCCCUCCCUGCCUCGUUCCGCGCCCAGUCCCUGCCCCCGCGGCGCCUGCGGGCCCGGGAGGGUGGCUCGGUGAUACCAGGACGAGGCGGGGCGGGGCGAGGCUAUCGCUGAGAGCCAGCCGAGGGGCUGCGGGGGGCCCUUUCCGGACCGGCACCCUGAAGUCCAAGAGCUGAAAGCAUGCGCCGCUGGAACUCCAGCUUGGGACAAGGGUGGUGCUAUUCACCCUGGUGGCCCUUCGCACGACAGCCUGGCCCCGGCAGAACCCGGCCUUAGCCCGCUCUCUGGGGACGCGAGCUGUUACCAGUACCGAACCGCCGUCAUCAGCACCCUCUGCAGCCGGGAAACGCGGCGGCGCGGGUCUCGGGCUCCUAAAACCCUCCCGCCAACCCCUCACUCCCGGAGCUUCAGCCGCCUCCCUACUCAGUCCGCGAUUGCUCCCGGUCAGGAAAGCUGGCUCUCCAGCUUCCUUUGAUAGGAACGGUUCUCAGAUUUGUACCCGGAGCGGGUUACUGUAGAGAUAGGUGUACGGUUUCCUGAUUUCACAUCCUAAAUAAAGGGCUGAAUACCUGGAACCGAAUUAGUAAUACUUCAGACGGAAUAGACUAGUUUCAAAUGUAAAAUCCGAGGAAACUUCCAUCCCUAGCGCUUUUCUCUCCUAAAUGUCAACAGGACCCGCCACACAGCCAGCCGUCCGACUUGGGGCGAGAGGGUGGCGUAGGGUGGUGGCGAAGGUGGGUAGAGCUAGCUGAGCUGGAGUGGGUAGGUAGACCGCGCAGGAACUUCGCCAAAUCCACACAGGUGCAAAGGCAAAGGUAUGAGGUCGAGGGUGGGAGAUCAGAGAGAGGAACUGUGGGAAAAGCUUGCUUUUUGCCUGAUUCAAGGAAACAGGUAAGGGCGGCAGAUACUUUUAAUUUGGGGCC
rnacentral:lncRNA from 1 species